rnacentral:lncRNA from 1 species
AAGGGUUUAUUUGCUUUACAGUAGUAGAAACUUGAACAUCUUUAAAUGCUGAUUGACAACUCAACAAUAAAAAGAUAAUUUGGAAAUGGGCAAGGAUAUGAAUAGACAUUUCUCCCAAGAAGAUGUACAGAUAGAUGGCCAAUAAGCAUCUAAAACAAUGCGCAACAUCAUUAGCCAUCAGUGAGAUGCAAAUCAAAACUACGAAAGGAAACUACUUUACCUCCACUAGGAUGACUAAUCAACAAGACAGACAAUGAAAAGUGUUGGCAAGGAUGGGGAGAAAUUGGAACCCUCAUACAUUACUGGUAGGAAUGUAAAAUGAUGUAGUCAUUCAAAGAAAAAAAAAGUCCAUCUGUCUUCAGAAGUUUAAAACAAGUUACAAAUGACCCAGCAAUUCCACUGCUAGUUAUAUACACAGGAAAAAUAAAAACAUAUGUUCACACAAAAAUUUGUACACAUACUCAUAACCAUAUUAUUAAUGGUUAUGAAUCAAAAAGUGGAAACAAUUUGAAUGUCCAUCAACUGGUGACAUAUUAUGUAUUGCAAAUAAGAUAGAUUAGUGGACUUAAACAACAAAUAUUCCCCUUGAUGCUAUAGGCUGGAAAGUCCAAGAUCAAGUUUCCUGCAGAUUUGGUGUCUGGUGCAGACCUUUUGCUGGCUUGCAGAUUUUUACCUGCUCCCUGUUUCUUAACAUGAUUAAGAGACAAAACUUAGGUGUCUCUUUCUCUUCUUGUAAGGGCACUAAUUCCAUCAGGGGCUCCAUCCGUGGAAAACAUAAUCAACUCCCAAAGACCCUAAUGCCAUCACAUUGGGGAUCAGGACUUUAGCGUACAAAUUUAGUAAUGACACAGGAGAACAGAUGUCACUAGAAAAGGAUCUGAGGAGUUCCCAGAGAAAGAGGGGAACUCACCUCAGGACCAACUGGGUUCCUGGCAUACUUGAAUUUCAGCAUGAGCCAAACAAAGACAUAGACAGAGGUUUAUUUAGGAAAGUAGAUACACAUUCAAGAGAGAAUGUGGGCUAUCUUGAGAAUGAGAAGCAGCCUGCCUUAGGCUGGG